CGAGGACCCAGAAAGUCUUCUUCAGCCCCUGAGACCUUUAAAUCCCAUGUUGUGAGACAAAAAAGAAAAGUUGGAUGGUCUAUGUCCUGGGUUUUCAGAACUAUUCCAGUUCUGAUGUUCUGUGUGGUCUACAAGCCAAUUCUUUUCACUAAACGAGCAAGCUGGAGACUCCAUUUCCCGGUUCUGACCUCUGACACAGUUAUGAAGAAGAGAAUGGAAAGUUGAGAGGAGUUUUCCCUGAGAGCUUCUUUUCAAGAGCACAAGGCUUGGGCGCCAUGAGAGAUUGCUAAAAUUCACAGGCAAAUGAAGUCAUCAGGAUUAGUCAGACUGUUGGAAGAGGCUGCCUCUGUCAAAUCCACAGGCCUGUGGCUGCCAGCAGAUAGGAUGGUCUCGUGAGAUAUGAAUCUGUGUGAAGUGGGAUCACAGACAAUCGCAGACGAACCACAGCAUCAGGUGACCCAACGGCAAUGGAGAGACUUUUCAGUCGUUUUUCAGUUGUGUCUGACUCUUCAUGACCCCUUUUGGGGUUUUCUUGGCAAAGAUACUGGAGUGGUUUGCCAUUUCCUUCUCCAGAUUGUUUUACAGAUGAGGAAAUUGAGGCCAACAGGGUGGAGUGACUUGCCCAGGGUCACACAGUUAAUAAAUUUCUGAGGCCAGAUUUAAACUCUGGAAGAUGAGUCUUCCUGACUCCAGGCCUGGCGCUCUACCCACUGCACCACCUAGCAGCUGUCUGUGGUAUGUGAAUGCAAUGGGAUAUUGAAUCAUGAGAAAUGGAAGAGUCUGAGGAUGUUCCUAGAGACUUGGCUCGAUUCAUACAAGCUGAUGUGGAGCAGAGUAAACAGAACAAGGAGAGUGAUUUACUUUCUGACCAUAAUAAUGUAAAGAGAAGCAACUCAGGAAAACUCCAGAGCUCUGCUCCAUGGAAGGCCCAGUGGUGACCCUUGAGGAUGGAUGCUUCUGGGGUCAUGCCUCCUGCCUCUCUGUGCCCUAUGUGUAGAAUGACCCUCACAUAUUCCAACAUGGCCUAAGUGUUGAUCUGUUUUGAUUGACUUAACAAAGAAGGAUUCUAUUAGAGUCAGAGAUGAGGAGUCAUUGGUGACAAUUAUGUAACAAAG
rnacentral:lncRNA from 1 species